UACAACUUUCCUGCGAGCGAGGACGAUUCCCGGGCCCUGCGCGGAGCCCCGCAAGCGAGGCCAGGUGCUGCCAGCGCGGCGGGCCCCGGGGGGAGCUGGAGGAGCGGAGACACACACGGUGCGCGCAGCCCUCGCUGCUGCCGGAGCCGCCGGAGCCGCCACUGCCGGAGCUGCCACUGCCGGAGCUGGAGUUGUCUCUGCCGCUUUCCCUGCUGCUGCCGCCGCAGCGGCACAAACGUGACUUCCAACGUCUCGAGUAUUUAUCUUCUCCUUUCGGCCCCUCUCCUUCUUCUCCAAGAUGUAACUACAGCUCUGACACUAAGGACCUGCAGAUCGCUUAGGUGGCUGGAAAGAGAAAAAGGGGAUACCGAGGGCGUCGGGUUUUUUUUGCGUUUAGGGGGAAAUUUUCCAUUAUGAUGUUUCACUAAAGUGAUUUUUUUUUUUUUUUGUCUCCGUCGCAUUCGUCUUUUUUUUUUUUUUUCGUCCCCCAUUCCUCGGAUUUAUUGCUAGGAGAAUCACAUUGUGAGGAAAGAAAGUCGGAUUACAAGAUACCACUACAAACAACCCCCUCCCCCCAGGAUUUUUUCGGUAUUUUUAAUUUUUUUUUUUUUUUAAAUUAUUGUCGCGGCUUUAAUUCAUGAAGCAAUUGUCCCUUUUUGCAAUCAGAAUUUGGAUACCAGAAUGAGCAAAGAAAGACCCAAGAGGAAUAUAAUUCAAAAGAAAUACGAUGACAGCGAUGGGAUUCCCUGGUCAGAAGAGAGGGUGGUGCGGAAGGUCCUUUAUUUAUCUCUGAAGGAGUUCAAGAACGCACAGAAGCGGCAGCACGGUGACGGCAUUAGCGGGAGCCUCAAGGCAGUGAAUGGACUUCUCACUAAUGGCCAAUCUAAAGGAUUAGGACCGGGAUCAGAACAGCUGGAGAAUGAGAAGGACGAUGCGUCGCAAGUGUCCUCAACGAGCAACGAUGUUAGUUCUUCAGAUUUUGAAGAAGGGCCCUCGAGGAAAAGGCCAAGGCUGCAAGCACAAAGGAAGUUUGCUCAGUCCCAGCCAAACAGUCCCAGCACAACUCCAAUAAAGAUAGUGGAGCCGUUGUUACCCCCUCCUGCCACUCAGAUUUCUGACCUCUCCAAAAGGAAGCCCAAGACAGAAGAUUUUCUCACUUUCCUCUGUCUUCGAGGUUCUCCAGCCCUGCCCAGCAACAUGGUAUAUUUUGGAAGCUCUCAGGAUGAUGAGGAUGAAGAAGAGGAGGAGGAGGAGACAGAGGACACAAAAACAGCCACAAACAAUGCUUCAUCAUCAUGCCAGUCAACCCCCAGGAAAGGAAAAACGCAUAAACAUGUACCAAAUGGGCAAGUUUUCAAUGGGUCCAGCAAAUCAUCGAAGGAGAAGGAACCUGCUCAGAAACACAAAAGCAAAGAGGCCACACCAGGGAAGGAGAGGAACAGCGAACAUAAGGCUGAGAGCCGAAAAGAUCAGGCUGCUGCUAAUCACCAUCCUACUACAAACACUGGCUCCUCUACGAAAGGGCUCACCGCUAACAACCACCACACUCUUCAUAGAUCGGCUCAGGACUUAAGGAAACAGGUUUCUAAAGUCAACGGAGUCACUCGAAUGUCAUCUCCGAGUGCAAAUGCAGCCAGUGCCAAAAAGAUGAGAGAAGUCAGACCUUCACCGUCCAAAACUGUGAAGUACACUGCAACAGUGACAAAGGGAACUGUCACAUACACCAAAGCCAAGAAAGAACUGGUCAAGGAAACCAAACUAAAUCACCACAAACCCAGUUCACCUGUCAACCACACAAUCUCAGGGAAAAUAGAAAGUAGCAAUGCAAAAACCCGCAAACAGGUGCUAUCCCUUGGAGCAUCCAAGUCUAACAAUACCGCUGUUAAUGGUGUAAAAGUCAAUGGCAAGUUGAACCAAAAGACAUGCACUAAGGAGGUGGGGAGACAGUUAAGGGAGGGGCUGCGCAAUUCGAAGAGGAGGCUGGAAGAGACGAAUCACAUAGACAAAAUACAGUCGCCCACCAAGAGAAUGAAAGGGGCCGUCAACUUGGCAGAAGCUGCCACCAAAAAGGCAUCCAUAGAAAAGCCUUUGCUGAAUGGACACCUUAAAAAGGAAGUGCCAGAGAAGAGUUUGGAAAGAAAUAGGCCGAAAAGAGCCACUGCUGGAAAGAGUACGCCAGGGAAACAAGCACAUGGCAAAACUGAAAAUGCCUCCUGUGAAAAUCGUUCUACCUCUCAAGCGGAGUCCUUGCACAAGCCACAAGACUCAAUGGGAAAGCACGAAAAGGGCAGUAGUAAGUCUGGGUGGGGGAUGCUGGGGGAGAUUCCCAUCCUUAGGCCCUCCACCAAGGAAUUUCAUGACCCACUGAUAUACAUUGAGUCAGUCCGAGCUCAGGUAGAGAAGUAUGGGAUGUGCAGGGUGAUUCCUCCUCCAGACUGGAGACCUGAGUGCAAGCUAAAUGAUGAAAUGCGGUUUGUGACACAGAUUCAGCACAUACACAAGCUAGGCAGGCGCUGGGGACCCAACGUGCAGCGGCUGGCCUGUAUCAAGAAGCACCUCAAAUCUCAGGGCAUUACCAUGGACGAACUCCCACUCAUAGGAGGCUGCGAGCUCGACCUGGCCUGCUUCGUCCAGCUGAUCAACGAGAUGGGGGGGAUGCAGCAAGUGACUGACCUCAAGAAAUGGAACAAGCUGGCAGACAUGCUGCGCAUCCCCAAAACUGCACAGGACAGGCUGGCCAAGCUGCAAGAAGCCUACUGCCAGUACUUGCUCUCCUACGACUCCCUCUCCCCCGAGGAGCACAAGAAACUGGAGAAGGAGGUCUUGCUGGAAAAAGAAAUCUUGGAGAAGAGGAAAGGACCUUUGGAGGGACAUUUGGAGAAUGCCUACAAGUUCCAUUCCUUGCCCCGGUUUGAGCCCAAAAACGGACUCAUCAAUGGCGUGGUUCACAAAAAUGGCUUCCGCAACAAGUUAAAAGAGGUCGACGUCCCACUGAAGACGGGCAGGCGGCGGCUCUUCGCUCAGGAAAAGGAGACCACGAAGGAAGACGAGGAGGAGGAGGAGGAGGGAGUUCUUAGCGACUUACACAAGUGUAUAUACAAGGGUAGGUCUGUUUCUUUAACAACCUUCUACCGAACAGCAAGAAACAUCAUGAACAUGUGCUUCACGAAGGAGCCUACAGUAGCCGAAGUAGAGCAAGAGUAUUGGCGGAUAGUGGAACAGAAAGAUUGCCAUGUAGCAGUGCAUUGUGGAAAAGUAGAUACCAACACCCACGGGAGUGGCUUUCCCGUGGGAAAAUCUGAACCAUUUUCAAGGCAUGGGUGGAACCUCACAGUCCUUCCUAAUAAUACAGGAUCCAUCCUGCGACAUCUUGGUGCUGUGCCUGGAGUGACAAUUCCUUGGCUAAAUAUUGGCAUGGUCUUUUCUACCUCAUGCUGGUCUCGAGACCAAAAUCACCUUCCAUACAUUGACUACUUACACACUGGUGCUGAUUGCAUUUGGUAUUGCAUUCCUGCUGCGGAGGAGAACAAACUUGAUGAUGUGGUACAUACCCUGCUGCAAGCCAAUGGCACUCCAGGGCUGGAAAUGCUUGAAAGUAAUGUAAUGAUCUCCCCAGAAAUCUUGUGUAAGGAGGGGAUCAGGGUGCACCGUACUGUACAGCAGAGCGGGCAGUUUGUUGUCUGUUUUCCUGGAUCCUUUGUGUCCAAAGUGUGUUGUGGCUAUAGUGUUUCUGAAACAGUGCACUUUGCUACCACCCAGUGGACAAGUAUGGGGUUUAAAACAGCCAAGGAAAUGAAGAGACGACGUAUCGCCAAACCAUUUUCAAUGGAAAAGUUGCUUUAUCAGAUUGCAACAGCAGAAGCAAAAAAGGAAAAUGGGCCGACUCUGAGUACGAUAUCAUCACUUCUCGGAGAGCUCAGUUGCUACCUAUCUUUCAAGUUUGUGACAACUGAUACUCGAGAUGUCAAGAAAGUUUUGAUGAAUGGAACCUACAAACUGUAUUUAACUAACUAGCAUGUUCAUUUGGAAAAUUUCCAGUGACAUAUUGAAGGGGAAAACAGCCCAUGUGUUGUUUUAGUGUUCAGAAAGAAAUACAAAGAGGUGUGCUGACUGCUUUACCUGCAGCUGGUUCCCCUGGGGGAAUACGCACUUCCAAGUGCCUUUUUUUUUUUUUUUAUUACUUUUUUUUUUUUCCUUGAAGAGGAAAAGACUGCAAGUGCGAAAGGUGAAACAGAAAUGUUGGUGCUUGCUGUUAGACCGUCACAUCGACCUCUAUCAGAGUGGUUCUCAAACUUGUUCUUAUGCUUAGGUUGGGAUUCUGUGGAGGAUAUCUGUCCUUCCUGUGUCUGCUUAUGUAAAACAACCCCCCACACAACAAAAUCCAUAAAAAAACCCCACAAAGUGGAACACUGUACCAUAUUUUUUUUCCCUUUGCUUUGUUUUGCUUGUUUGUUCUGUUUUUUGCUGCCUCCUCUCCUGAUCUGCCUUGGUUGCUCAGUUUGCCCGUGCCAUUUGCUUAGCUUGGCUCUCCACCCAUCUUCAGCUGUGUCUGGUGGUGAGCUUUUUUAUUCUUCCCUUCCAUCUGCUCAGCUCGCUCCACACUUGCUGUCUUCCACGCGGCUCCAACACGACCUGCUCUCCUAAUGCUGUGUAGUUCAGCAUAGGAAGUAUUGUCCACCUUGCGGAUGCCGUGGGUGAAGGGCGGCUGGAGGGCUUAGUUUUUAUUCUUAAUUGAUAUCUCCUUCUCUUUCCCCGGGUGUACAGCAAGAUCUUCGUCUUUUGGCACAAUCACUUGCCCUGCUCCCCCUUUCCUGCCUGAAGCUCCUCAUGGCAGCAGGUCCUUGGUUCAUCUCUGCCUCCUGAUGAAGGUGGCUGUUACUCCCGACAGCAACGGCUCUUCCUGCUCCAGGUGGCUUUUGGCAACUUCAGGGAUGACAGUCAUGUUAGCCACAUCUCCUGACUCUUCACAUGGCCCCGGGCAACCACCGACCUACAGGAAGUACUCGGCCUACAGAAAGUCCCCAGUUCUCUGUGGAGCAGUUUGAGAACCACUGGCUCGAUACAGUGGUCGCUGUUAAAAUCCGGAGAUAGCUUUUGCAAUUAGGCAGCGUUUCUGUGGUGCUGGCUGUCUCUCACCAUGAGUAGGGAAUGGCACCAACCUCCAACAACACUCAGGGCUUUGCUGUGUGGAGUUAAGGUUUCAAUGAUGAUGGUGGUAAAAGGGCGAUUCUACAUGGCUUUGUGGUGGUGUGAGGUGAUGCCAGUGUCUAAUUGCAUAAAACGUUCACAGGGACACAGAGCUGAGGCAGCGGCGGCAGCUUUACGAGGCAGGUCUCCAUUCUUCAGCGCGCUACGGCAGCCAUGACAGCAGCAGCACAGGGGUGGAUGGAAAGAAAAAGCCUCGAAAGUGGUUGCAGUUAGAAACGUCAGAGAGGAGAUGUCAGAUUUGUCAGCAUCUGUGCUAUCUUUCCAUGGUCGUACAGGAGAAUGAAAAUGUUGUCUUCUGCUUGGAGUGUGCCCUGCGGCAUGUGGAAAAACAGAAGUCUUGUCGGGGACUGAAAAUGAUGUACCGUUAUGAUGAGGAACAAAUAAUCAGUCUAGUCAAUCAAAUCUGUGGAAAAGUAUCUGGUAAAAAUGGCAGCAUUGAGAACUGUAUCAGCAAGCCUACACCAAAAAGAGGACCUCGUAAGAGAGCGACAGUCGACGUGCCAUCAUCUAGGCUUUCAUCCUCCAGUUCAUCCAAAAGUGCUUCAAGUUAAUCCUGAAGAUGCCAACACUCUCAUUUUGUCAAUUUAUAUAUAUUUUUUGUAAUUAUUAUACCAUAGUUUGGAGUACUUGCUGUAGAAUACAAGCUGUCUUUGCACUAGCUCUAAAGAAGAUUUUCUUCUGGUUUUAGAGAACUAAUUUUGUUUUAGCAUUAAACUGUUGAAUUUUUUUUUUGUACUUAGACUAGAUAGAUACAGCAGUCUGAUUUUUUUAAACUGCCGUAUGUUCACUGUUUUAAAACCGGCAAGGGGCUGAUAAAAUAUUAAUUUGUAUUGUCCCUAUGGCUGAAAAAAGAAAAAGCCUUUUUGGUAACUGUGAAAAAAGGCUUUUAACCCAUUUUUGGAAUAGGUUGAAGUUUGAUGUGUUUUAUAAUUUGUUCUCCAGUCAUGUGAGCAGAUUUUUCUAGAGAGAAAAGGGAUAGGAGACAAAAACUUGAACGAAAUUGCUUUACUUUGGCUGUCUUUUAUUCUGUCGCAGCAAGAUGAGUUUUGUAAUUUUUUAAAUUGGAGAAUACACACUUUCUUUGGGAGGUUUUGGCAGCUGAAGAUGGACUUUGUUUCCUAACUUGUAGGCAAAAGGAGGAGAUUUGGAGUAUGUUCUCUUUUACCAGCACAUCACUAUGCAUCUGUUUUGAGGGGGAAAAAUAAAAAAUAAAGAAAAAAAGAAAAAAAAAAAAGGAGGAAAAAAGACUGCCUGCCUUGAGGAGUUACGUGAGGGAAAACUGUGCCUGAUUUCAUUAGGAAAUCCAUUCUGUUAUUUUUUGGUGCUGUUGGCUACUUUAUCAAAAACCCUUCAAUAGCAUCCUUUGAAAAAAAAGAAAAAAAAAGAAAAAAAGUGAUUGAAGCCAUAAGUGCUUCUUUUGUCAUAGACGUGCAAUCUUUCUAACAUUCCAUUUCCAUUCCACUGCUGUCUUUCACACCUUUACACAGUCAAGCAUUAAUUUUUGUUCUGAAUUUGUUUCAUUAUAUGAUCACAUUUAGAGCCACUAGCAGGUCUGCAUCUUUCUUUUGAAUGUGAAAAUGCAUUUGCUUUCAUCUUGUCUAUUUUUUCUCUUCAUGUUGUAACAAAAAGAAGAAAAAAAAAAAAUCACACCUUUUGUACAUAUGCCUGUAAAUUUUUUUAAAUACUUGAGCCUUUUCUUGGGGUGGGGAGGGGGGAUGGUGAAGAGACAAGAUGAAGAAAAGCCUUACGUUUCACUUUCUUCAUCGGUUGGAUUGGAUGCUUACAGGGUUUUUCUUGUAACAUUUAUAAGUGCUGCUUACAUCACUGAACAACAACAAAAAAUAAUAAUGGAGUAGCUGUUGCCCUUUUCUGGUUGUGUGUACAGUAUGUGUGGAAUAAAAAAGGGAAAAUGUUUUCACAAACUGUUUUGUUUCGUAAUUGAAUUCAACAAUACCGUAGCUACCCAUAUUGCACUGAGCUUGCCAGUGGUGACUGUCAGGAAAGUCCUAUAAUACAAUUUGUUGGUUGUUGUUGCAGAAGACUGAACUGUUUUGGAAUAUUUAACAAUAACAUAAACAGAGUCAAGUGUUUUCAAAUGUGGUUGUCUGGUUUUUAUGGCCUUGCUGUGUACUUUUCCCUCUUGACAGUAAACUUCUGACUAUGGCUUACAGUUUGACAUUUAAUUUAUUAGCGCUGCUCUGCUCUCUUUCCUUGUAAGGAAAGACUUCAUGUUGUUUAUUGCCAGUUUUUUGUUUACUUUCCAGGUUUGUACUACGAGGUUUAAUAAAAAAAAACAAAACUUU